CCUACGGGUGGCAGCAGUCGAGAAUCAUUCACAAUGGGGGAAACUCUGAUGGUGCGAUGCCGCGUGGGGGAAUGAAGGUCUUCGGAUUGUAAACUCCUGUCAUGUGGGAGCAAACUAAAAAGAUAGUACCACAAGAGGAAGAGACGGCUAACUCGGUGCCAGCAGCCGCGGUAAUACAGAGGACUCAAGCGUUGUUCGGAAUCACUGGGCGUAAGGCGUGCGGAGGCUGUUUGGCAAGUCGGAUGUGAAAGGCGGGGGUUCAACUCGCGAACGGCACAUGAUACUGUGAGGCUAGAGUAAAGGAGGGGGAAGCGGAAUGCACGGUGUAGCAGUGAAAUGCGUAGAGAUC
rnacentral:rRNA from 1 species